GCCGUUUAACUUCAACUAAUUAGGUGAUCUUAAUUAAACGCGAGCCUAUAGAUGACGCUGACUUUAGCUUGCAUCCAUAGACAUGAUAGAGUAAAUAACAAGGGAGUUCUGCAAAUGGAAUUCAAAAGGAGACUCAAGUAUUUCUUCGUACCCAAGAUGGGUAGCUCAAGUAACUUUCAUGGGUCAGGGCAAGCAAAGUCUGAUGCUUUUGACCUUCCAAAUGUUGUUUGUGCCAACAUUCAUGAAUAAGCUGAAGUAUCAAGCACUCAUAUUUUUAUUGGACUGUAAAUAAUGUUAACUCACAGAAAGAAGUCUUCGUCGUCAAGUGUUUAUGAUCCCCGCUAAGUUAUCUGAGGGAAUGGUAUGGUUUCUGAGAUUAGAAAUUAAUGGCCUAUUUGGUAGCAAGGAAUUGGGAGGAGAGACGUGGAAGUAGACAUGGAACUCAAAAUUUUGUGUAUUUGGUAUGCUUGAAAAGGCUUCUUGGAGAAUUGGGUUUCAUUAAAUUUAAAGGAACCUAGUUCCACUUCUCUAGAACUCCUCUUUCUGACCAUUUUGCCCCGAGACCCUCCCUCAUUGAACAAUCGAAGGAUGACGGUGAAGCUGUUGGAGGCCCACGUUCGACGGCAUGCUCCAGAUCUUCUAUAGCAAUAGUACUCACCGAUGACCAAUCUUUCGAUGUUCGGACUUCGCCGUCCUCUUCCUCAACCUGUGAGAAAAUUCCGGUCAAUCUUUCUACCUUUGUCGUCCAUGCGAACUUUGUUCAUACUCCGUCAUUCUCUUCGUCUUCCUCUAGAUCUUCACAGGUUGUAAAUCUCCGUCUGAGUCGAUCGUCAAAUUCAGGUUGUGGAUCUCCAUCUUCUUCAUCAUUCCAGAUCUGUGUUUGAACUUUGAAUAUGUUAUAUGAUUUUUAGUAUGGUUUUAUGAAAUUUGAUGAAUUAUCUUAUGUUUGAAUGCUUAAUUUGUUGAUUUUUUUUUUAAUAUGUGAAUGCUUUGUUGGUUGAGUUCCUCAGUUUCUCUUCUUGGACGAUAGUUUCUUUGCUCUCCAAUGGCGGUUUUCCUUUUCCAUGACGGUGGCUUUGUGUGCUGGAGCUUGAUAUUUGACUGGAGAUGCCAAAUUUGAUGAUGAAAAGUCAAUCAGACUACGCAUAUCAAUCUUUGAAGAUCCCGCAAGCAAUUCAGCACCUACUUAGGAAUCCUCAAUCACUUGCUUGUACUAUCUCGUGGCAUAAUUUUUCAAUAGGAAAUCCUGCUUAUAUUAACAAGUGCAAUACAUGUUGAGAUCAGGAAACUUUCAGGGAAAUUUGAAUAACGCAUGAACCAAGAGUUGGAAGCAAUACAUGGAACAGAAUAAGAUUCAGGAAGUCAAUCUCUAUUAAGGUAUCUGCACUCGCCUAAACCCUAUGAAAUUCUGAUUCGUUUGUUGCAUUUCCGACUCCUUUCUCAUAGCUCACCAUUAUUUCUGAUCCUUAUUAGACAAAUAUUACUAUACACCCAAGUAGAAUGGACCCGCCAUGCUCGAUCUCACCUGAAGAAUCCAACACAACUUAUCACCAUGUGUGGAUAAUCAGCUUGUUCAACAAACUCUUCAACUUCCUUCAGAGUGAUUUUGUUCCAUCACAUACUGCUAUACAAGGGUGCACUUCCCUCGUAUGUCUGAUCUUCAAAUUGAUGGAACCAAAGGGUGGAGCAGUUGGUCCAUGUACCCUAAAUCAACUGAUGCAAAUAUCCAAACUAACAGCGAAUGUUUACAUGUAUUAUGACACUCAGGCUUCCAGUCAAGAGAUAGAGUUGGAGAGAGAUGUUUUAAUGGGGUUGUGGCCGAGUUUGGACAAUAAAUAUGUCUUUUCCAACGAGACAUCCUUCUACAUCCUGUGGGCAACCGAAUUUCCUUUCGAGGAAAAACCCCACUGCACAAAGACGUUGACCCAUUUGUCUGCGGAAAACUGGGUCAACUGUUAACGGUUUUUUGCUAUAAUCCACUGUCAAACGGAUAACCUCCCCAUCUGCAGGUCCUGCGCCACGUACAAGCAAUUCCUCGCUGAAGUUUGCAAAUGCUAGUGUUUGCACUAGCCCGUUGAAUUUCCCAGAUGAGAUACGCCAUGGGGUUCCCCGGGUCCCAGAAGCCAGAGUUUCACCAAGGCCAGAAGCAAUCUCUGCCUCUACAUAGUUAUGAUCCUGGUUUGUUGUGCUGAAAGUAUGUAACACGAAAGAUAAAUCUGGUGAAAGCAUUUCUUGGACCAGAACUGCCAUUGCAGCUUCUUUUUGAGGCACGCCAGCAGCACGACGGCUUAAGACAGCCCUUCUUGUGUACAAUGAGGCCCAAACCUGGCUAACUGCAGCACCAAAAACUGUUGGGAUGGAUGGGCUGACAUUGGGUAUUGAUUCAUAAAGUCCAGCUGCUGACAUGCCGGCCAAGUCCUCAACAUUGGCACUAGAACGAACAAUUAAACGUGCACUGUCUGGAAAUAUCCUUCUGAUGCUUUCAAUAAUAUCUUUUGGAGGCUGCAGAGAAGAGAUCAAUUCCUGGAGUUGAUGGCAUAACGUAUCAAGCUCACCACCAUCCAAUCUCGCUGUCUCUAUCUUUUCCACCAUAUAGCUGAAUGCUUCCAUGGAAUUGGUCUGCUCCAGUGCCAAUUCCAUGGAACCAAAAGGUAAAACUGCCCCCCGAGGGACUUGAAAAGACGCCGGCACUCCUUGAUCACUAUAAACUGUAACACAGAAUCAGAAUUUCAGAAAUUUAAGCACACUAAGGAGUAGCUGACAAAUAAUAUAAUUUGUGAAAAUACAUGAUUGGUAAUUAUAUUAAUGUUCAUAUA